UGGGUUGUUGCAAACCAAUGCAGACAACUGGGAUAAUUGAACUUGGUGGAGCUUCUGCUCAGGUGACAUUUGUUUCAAGUGAGCCGGUGCCUCCCGAGUUCUCUCGUGCUGUUAAAUUUGGAAAUGUCACUUACAAUCUCUACAGUCACAGCUUUCUUCAUUUCAGCCAGAAUGUUGCGUAUGAUUCAUUGAAAGAGGGUAUUGUUCAGGAGACUUCGACUCAGGUAAAGAUACA